rnacentral:lncRNA from 1 species
AUCAUAAAAAUGGCCCAUUCUUCUGCUUUGCUUUCUUCUAGUGCUUAUCCUUGGAACCCAGCCACCAUGCUGUGAGGAAGCCCAAACUACUCCACGUAAAGGGAGCUCAUGGAGAAGCCUCCGGUAGGUGUUCCUGCCAAGAGAUGAGCUGAGAGUCCAACCAACAGCAACAUCGACUGCCAGACACGAUGCACCAAAUAGAGAGUAAAUAUCAGCUUCAUGAAUGAAUAAUGAAAAUGGAGAGAUAACUGAAUGAAUCAUACUACUCAUCAUUAGAAGAGUUAUAUUCACCAGAAACCCACUAAGACCCCACGUAAGAUAAAUGUCACAUUCUGACAAAAGCACCAAGAAAUAGAAGAAGAAAAACAAUGUAUGUGAAUAAAGUGAACAACCAGAAACUAAAUAAGUAUCGUCUAGGGUGUGGUGGCCAGAAUACUACUUUCCCCAAGAUGCCCAAGGUCUUCAUUCUUGAAACCUGUGGCAAAAAGGACUUAAUAGGCUAACUUACUGAGUUAGGGUUCUUGAGAUGGGAAGAUUAUCCUGACUUUACAGGUAGACCCAGCGUUUACCAGGAUCCCUGUAAGAGCAAGGCAGGAAUGACAGAAUCAGAGAAGAUGAUGUAGUGACAAAAGCAGGGGUCCGAGUGAUGCCACUGCUGGCUUUGAAAAUGAAGGAAAAGGCCACCGGCCAAGGAAGGCAGGCAGCUUCACGAAGCUGGAAAAGACUCUCCCCUAGAGCCUCCAAAAACAUGCAAUCCUGCCAAUGCCUUGAUUUGGCCCAGUGAAACCCAUUUCAGAUGUCUGACCUCCAAAAACAGAAGAUUUAGAAAGAUUUUUUUUUUGUUUUUUUUUUUUUUAAAGUUCAAAGGUACAUGUGCAGGUUUGUUACAAAAGUAAACGUGUAUCAUGGGGGUCUGUUGUGCAGAUUAUUUCAUCACCCAGAAUGAAGUGUCAAUGAACCAUGAUAUACUGGAGCCAAAGCAGAAUUUAUUUCAUCCGGAUAAAUCUAAGGGCUGUCGUCUGUAUCUUAAUUGUGAGUCAAGUGAAGGCCACUGGCUCUCUUCAGACUCACAGUUAACAGAUCUCUUUUGAAAUAUACUGUUAGUACAAUCGAUGGUUGGCAUCACAAAUUGAAGAUUACGGCAGAUGAAAUACCCAUACGCCUUAAGUGUUAUAAAUUCCAACCACAAAGAGUUUCUGAAAGGAAUUGCUACUACUAACAUACUCUGCAAGAAAUCCUGACUUCAGGAUUAUGAGAGAAAAAUAUAUAUAUCUCAAGAAAGAAAAAAUCCAGCACCUACGGCAUAAUGUAAGGAGAGAAUGCUCCAGCAAAAUCUAACUUGCACAAUAAAUCUGUUCUGUCAGAUCCUUGACCGGUAUGUUUAUGUUGACCUCUUUCCGUUUGAAGAGAGAGGAAAGAAAC